rnacentral:rRNA from 1 species
UUUAUGGAGAGUUUGAUCCUGGCUCAGGAUGAACGCUGGCGGCGUGCCUAAUACAUGCAAGUCGAGCGAACGGACGAGAAGCUUGCUUCUCUGAUGUUAGCGGCGGACGGGUGAGUAACACGUGGAUAACCUACCUAUAAGACUGGGAUAACUUCGGGAAACCGGAGCUAAUACCGGAUAAUAUUUUGAACCGCAUGNNNNNNNNNNNNNNNNNNNNNNNNNNNNNNNNNNNNNNNNNNNNNGCGCUGCAUUAGCUAGUUGGUAAGGUAACGGCUUACCAAGGCAACGAUGCAUAGCCGACCUGAGAGGGUGAUCGGCCACACUGGAACUGAGACACGGUCCAGACUCCUACGGGAGGCAGCAGUAGGGAAUCUUCCGCAAUGGGCGAAAGCCUGACGGAGCAACGCCGCGUGAGUGAUGAAGGUCUUCGGAUCGUAAAACUCUGUUAUUAGGGAAGAACAUAUGUGUAAGUAACUGUGCACAUCUUGACGGUACCUAAUCAGAAAGCCACGGCUAACUACGUGCCAGCAGCCGCGGUAAUACGUAGGUGGCAAGCGUUAUCCGGAAUUAUUGGGCGUAAAGCGCGCGUAGGCGGUUUUUUAAGUCUGAUGUGAAAGCCCACGGCUCAACCGUGGAGGGUCAUUGGAAACUGGAAAACUUGAGUGCAGAAGAGGAAAGUGGAAUUCCAUGUGUAGCGGUGAAAUGCGCAGAGAUAUGGAGGAACACCAGUGGCGAAGGCGACUUUCUGGUCUGUAACUGACGCUGAUGUGCGAAAGCGUGGGGAUCAAACAGGAUUAGAUACCCUGGUAGUCCACGCCGUAAACGAUGAGUGCUAAGUGUUAGGGGGUUUCCGCCCCUUAGUGCUGCAGCUAACGCAUUAAGCACUCCGCCUGGGGAGUACGACCGCAAGGUUGAAACUCAAAGGAAUUGACGGGGACCCGCACAAGCGGUGGAGCAUGUGGUUUAAUUCGAAGCAACGCGAAGAACCUUACCAAAUCUUGACAUCCUUUGACAACUCUAGAGAUAGAGCUUUCCCCUUCGGGGGACAAAGUGACAGGUGGUGCAUGGUUGUCGUCAGCUCGUGUCGUGAGAUGUUGGGUUAAGUCCCGCAACGAGCGCAACCCUUAAGCUUAGUUGCCAUCAUUAAGUUGGGCACUCUAAGUUGACUGCCGGUGACAAACCGGAGGAAGGUGGGGAUGACGUCAAAUCAUCAUGCCCCUUAUGAUUUGGGCUACACACGUGCUACAAUGGACAAUACAAAGGGCAGCGAAACCGCGAGGUCAAGCAAAUCCCAUAAAGUUGUUCUCAGUUCGGAUUGUAGUCUGCAACUCGACUACAUGAAGCUGGAAUCGCUAGUAAUCGUAGAUCAGCAUGCUACGGUGAAUACGUUCCCGGGUCUUGUACACACCGCCCGUCACACCACGAGAGUUUGUAACACCCGAAGCCGGUGGAGUAACCUUUUAGGAGCUAGCCGUCGAAGGUGGGACAAAUGAUUGGGGUGAAGUCGUAACAAGGUAGCCGUAUCGGAAGGUGCGGCUGGAUCACCUCCUUUCUAAGGA